AAACAGAAUGUGUUCAAGGAAAGCUUCAAAUCUGGCCAUAGAGCAAAUGAAGAUGUUCACUUGAUAGUGAGGAAAUCUCCAGUCCUCGAUUUCUGCCUCUCGAACUCGGCUCGCAAGGAAAUUUCAACAUUGUCGAGGAAGCAUCAUUGUAUCAGUGAAGUUUCGGUUCAGUUCUUAUCCUCAAGACAGUGAGCCUUCGCUCUCAAUUUUUAGAUUUGAUACAUUGAUUUCAAUAAAUUUCUUGAUUUCUAAUUUAUCUUAUUUGAAAUAUUGCAUUCCAGUAUAAAAAUUGUUAAUUUCUGUGUUUGAUAUUAAAGAUUUAGAUUUUGUAACAAUUUUAUCUGAUGUAAAAAUGUGGAACAGCACAAUUUCAUUAAGGAAACAAGUCACCAAUUCCUUUGUUGUUUUUCAGCUAUGUUAACUCACAAUUUCAUUAUUCUUUUUUGUUUUCCUCAAAGAUGUUUGGUUCAUAGAAUUGUACAGCAUUUGAGGAUAACAGAGCAUUUAACAAUUCUUCCAAAUUUGAGUUUGAAUUCCCAAACGAGGCACAACUCUUGAUAAAACAAUGUAACCAAGAACAAUAAAAUGGCUUCAUCAUCCACAAAAUAAAAAUUCAAUGAUAUGAUCAAUUUUUUUUAAUAUUAUUUCACCGUUAUAUUAAUUUUAUUUUUUUUUUUACGUCCAAUGCCCAUUUACAAACGAGUAAUAGUGUGAUAAGUAAAUUUGUUUAUCUUAUCAUCAUCUUUACAUUAGUGGAAUGGAUCCCAAUCAUUAAUUCAAUUUGUUUUUAUGGGAUGAUUGAUAGUGGUAU